rnacentral:ncRNA from 1 species
GGGAGCCGUAUGAGAUGAAAAUCUCACGUACGGUUCUGGAACGGAGAUUCUUUGAAUGGAUAGUGGUUGAUAGGUGAAAUCAUUGAAAACGAUAAAGGGAAAAGAAAGUUGAGUAAAAUAACCAAUUCAAC